UUUCUGUUUUGUUAUAUUCAUUUAUGUGUUUUAUUUUAGAUUCCAUAUAUAAGUGAUAACAUACAGUAUUUGUCUUCCUCUAUCUGACUUAUUUCAGGAAGCAUAAUACCCUCUUAAUCUAUUAUGUUGUUGUGAAUGUCACAAUUCUAUCCUUUUUUGGGAGAGAGGGCUGUAUACUAUUCCAUUAUAUACCUAUAUCCUCAUUAAAAUUCUCACUGUGUUCAUCAAUUAUUAUCUCUAUUUCAUUCAGCAUUCUUAUUACUAAUAAUUUGAUUAUUUACCUGCUAAGUUGUUUACAUGUUUUUCAUUAGUUUUUCUCCAGUUUUUUCCCCUGUUCCCUUGUUACGAAUCCCUUUGUCUUCUCUUUGGUGGGAGACUUGGAUCUGAAGGGUGCAGUGGUCAUGGCUUUUCCUAGGGUGUGGUGGCAGCCAGCACCUUGGUGGAAAUUAGGACUGGAGAUGGAUGGGCUAAACCAGAGCCUGGUGUGAACAAUGGCUUCUCCUGUGGCUUGACAGCAAUUACCAGCUUUGUGGGGGGUGUGGCUAGAGCUGGAGGUGUUAGAGCUUCAGCAUGGAGCAAGCUGCAGCUAGUCCCUAGGCACUGUGGCACUCACAUCUUGGUGGGUAAAGAAAGAGCAUGCAGGUGGAGCCUGCUGCAGGCUGGGGUGGGAGGUGCAUGCUAGGGCAAUCCAGCAGAUUAGCCAGAGCUAGAGGCAGAUGUGAGGAGGGGUUUCUCCUCUCCUCGAUGGCUGUCACUGCCCUACUGGGGGCAGGGUCAUGUCCAAAGUUGCUGGAACAGAAGCCCUAAGUGUUGGGUAUGAGCUGGCUCUGUUGCAACUGUGUGCUCUCCCUGCUGCCAGGAAUAGCACCUAUUCCCCAGAGGGGAGCAGUGCCAGAGCCGGAGGCUCUGCCGUGGACAUUCAUCAUGGGCUGCACACUGGGGUGGUCACUGGUACCGGGUCAGAGUCCCACACAAUUACAGUCUGCUUCCUCUGCCUUGUUCCCGGGAGUGGGCAGGAGGGCAUGUGCUCAUCAGGAGUGGAUUCUAGGUUUUGUGCAUCCCUCCUGCACGUCUCAGUGUGGUUCAAACCAGCAAAGGGAAGACAUCUUCCCAGGGUCAGAAACCCGGGCUGGGGUGCCCAGUAUGUGGUUCCAACAGCUCGUUCCCCCAGGAGGAUGUCCAGCCCAUGAAAUCCCCUCCUCCCCUGUGUCAGCUCCCAGGUGCACUGGUCCUGAUCUGACUCUUCCCUCCCUCCCUGACUCCUGGGGAUCUUCUUCUGCCGCCUUGAGUGUACGAGCGUUCCUGUGAGUCUCCAGUUCGUUUUCAGUGAGAAGUCCUCCACAGGCAGAUGGAUUUUCAGAACGUUCCUGGGGGAGGUGAGCCCCGUGUCUUCCCACUGCACCACGCUGAUCUCCUUCUGUUCAGCCCCUCAUGUAUAUGUCUGAUCCUGAAUUCUGCUCUGUGUUACUAGAUGUAUGCAUUUGGCAGAAACAGGCAUCUUAAGCUUAGGGAGGCCAACUAGGAAAUAUCGACUCUUGCUCCCAUAGCACCCAUCAAACAUUCCCUUGUGAUGCUGAGAGAGAUGAAAACAUGGACAACUUCUCUGCUGUGUUUCAUCUUAAGAGGUGCCGUCCGAUUUCCCUUGCGUUUGGACGGGUCUCGUUGGCAUGAGUACACAGGGAAUACCAUGGAAAUAAUGAUCUGGGAAUGUUGCAUCUCAGUGACGAGAGCCUUUGUGGCCCUGCCUGGGUCUGCUGGAGGAUUUCCUCCUGGAGCUCAUGGCUGCCCCGUGGAAGUUUGACUACCCCCAUUAAAACCACGUGGAGAACUCUGAGAGAACAUGCUGUGGGUGGGGGGGGGGUGCUUGCCAAGGGGUAUAUGUCAGUCUGAACAGAUUUGGGCAUUAAUGUCGGUCACUGAUCUUUGACUUGAAUCAACUCUCCAUUAUUGAUGUUCAAAUGGACCUCAGGUGAGACACAGGAGAUCUGGGAAGACUCUGACCUCUGAGUUAUGGGUCCCCACAUCCAGAGAAAACUAGUCUUGGUAUUCAGAACGCAGAGUUCCCAUACCUAAGUUCCAGGAAGUCAUGGGAGUCAGGAUGCACCUGGAACUUUUACAGGACAGUCACCAGUGCUGUGUGCCACAAAUCCAGUGUUGGAGUGACAUCUGGAAAGAGGCUCAAAGCAAGUGAUGAUUCUGUCUCUUGGCUCAAUUCUGUCAUUUGCAUGAAAGCACGAAGUCAUGUGUUGCCGAGACCAUUCCUGCCUUUAGAAGCUGACAAGGUCAACUGGAAGCCUGCCAACUGGAAUAGCUUCAUCUUGGAGGACACUUUCAUGUGAUAUGGUGAUGGAUUGAGUAGUUAUUAAUGACCGAAUGGGAUUCUAGUACUGUUCCAAUAGAUUUGUUCUUUGAUGAUCAUUUUGCUGUGCGGGGUCCGUAACAGCACAUUAGUUAGUGAGCUUUUAUGCACUAUAAAUACAUCUUUGCUCUCUGUUCCCAGCUUCUGACAGAGGGCUCCUAAAACCCUUGUAAUUCCCUGGAUGACAGGAGUGGUAGAUGCUCCUAACCUUUUAUUCUAUUAUUUGGUCUUGGACCAUGGUUGCUGAUACAGGACUCCUAAAUCCUUUAGAAUUUCUUGAGUGUCUUCUGUUCUGAGAGCUCUUGGUAGGAUCCAGGACAGCUUCAAGCCGGGGUCUGUGCAUCAAAAAUGGCAAACCGUGAUUACAAGUUUGUACCUUUAUUUCCACUUCCGAUUCUUCAGGGAGAAUGGUGGAGCUUGAAACUGACUAAAUAUUGAUCCCUAGCCUCCAUACAAAUGCUAAGCUAUGGAGAGGAGAGGGUCCAGGUCGGUGAGCAGAUCCAUGUACCAGGAGGGUGGUGCUCUCCAGCUUCAUGGUGAUAGAAGCUCCUGCCCUAGGAAGCCCCCAGACCUGGUGCUGUGUGUCUCUGCAUGUGGCUGCUCAUUUGUCUUUUACAACAUCUCUUGUGAUAAACUGGUAAGUGUAAGUGAAUAUUUCUUUGAGUUCUGUGAGACAUUCCAGGAAAUUAUCAGACCCGGGAGAAGGUUGUGGGAAGCCCUGACUUGGUAGCCUAUGGACCCAUUACUUGUAGUUGUGUCUGAAGGGAGGGGAGUCUGUUGGAACUGAGCCCUUAAACGUUUGAAGUCUGACCUGCAGUUAGUGUCAUAGUUGAUGGAAAGAAUAGAGCAUCACGUGGAUAUUCUGACAUUUAAUGUAUUUUAUUUUCCAUUUGGUGGGAAUAGGGGUAAACGCACCACCCAUGUUUUAUAAAUAAUGCUGUGCAUGAAGAAUGCUCCAUUACCCUUUGUUUAAUCAUUUCAAACGUAGUAUCUUUGGUGAUUUUUACAGUUUGUUACAUAGUUUCCACUUAAAUUGUGCAAUGAUACUAUAUGUAUUAUGCAUUUCCAUUUAGUAGUAGUCAAUGAAUAUUUUCCAUUUUGUUGGUUUUCCGAUGGAGUUUCUCAGGCGUCAUGACUCUCACUCCACUAUGGUGAGACAGGAAAUUUUAUGAUCUAAGAUGUGCUUUUAGAUGCUUUAAACAGUUGUCUUUGUUAAGACUUCUAAUACU
rnacentral:lncRNA from 1 species